rnacentral:rRNA from 1 species
GACAGGGGGAUGCAGCGUUAUCCGGAAUGAUUGGGCGUAAAGGCGUUUGUAGGUGGCUUUUUAAGUCCGCCGUCAAAUCCCGAGGGCUCGAACCCUGGGACAGGACCGGUGGAAACUACCAACGCUGGAGUACGGUACGGGGCAGAGGGAAUUUCCGGUGGAGCGGUGGAACUGCGGUGAGAGAGUCGGGAAAGAACACCAACGGC